GGAUGUGAGGGUGAUCUGGCUGCGACAUCUGUCGCCCCACUGAUCGCCAGGGUUGAUUUGGCUGAUCUGGCUGGCUAGGCGGGUGUCCUCUUCCUUCCUCACCACUCCCAUGUGCAUCCCUCCUGAAACUGUGCACUCUGGGGAAGAGGAGGGCCUUCCCCGAAUAGAGACAGACUGGUCUUUGGUCAGGGUAUAGGAGUAGCUGCGCUCCCCUGCUAGAACCUCCAAACAAGCUCUCAAAAGGUGAUUAUUGAUGCUUGGCUUUUCCCAUUAUUCUUUCUCCCUUCCCAAUAUUCCAAAAAAGCCUCUCUUUCAAAAACUUUUUG
ensembl:misc_RNA 7SK 7SK RNA